AUACGUAGGGGCGAGCGUUGUCCGGAAUGAUUGGGCGUAAAGGGCGCGUAGGCGGCCUGUUAAGUCUGGAGUGAAAGUCCUGCUUUCAAGGUGGGAAUUGCUUUGGAAACUGGCGGGCUGGAGUGCAGGAGAGGUUAGCGGAAUUCCCGGUGUAGCGGUGAAAUGCGUAGAGAUCGGGAGGAACACCAGUGGCGAAGGCGGCUAACUGGACUGUAACUGACGCUGAGGCUCGAAAGCGUGGGGAGC
rnacentral:rRNA from 1 species